GGCCAUAGUGGGAGGGAAACACCCGUUCCCAUUCCGAACACGGCAGUUAAGACUCCCUAUGCCAAUGGUACUGGCCAAAAGCCGGGAGAGUAGGUCACCGCCGGAU
rnacentral:rRNA from 1 species